UAGAAUUAGUAGGAACUAAAGAAAGCCGCUAACUUUCUUUAAGUGGUUCGACUCCAUUAAAUUCUUU
rnacentral:tRNA from 1 species